rnacentral:sRNA from 3 species
GAAAUUAUGUAUACACCUCAUGUGUAUAUAGACAAUUUUUUUUCCCAUAUAUUCACUUGUAAAAAGGGUAAAUAAAUUUUAUAAUUUAAUCACAUGUGUAUUUUUAUUUUAUUUAUAAGUUUUUUAUGAAUAAAAUUAGUAGUAAUAUACAUGCUUCGUGCGAUAAAGACAU